CCAAUAGCGUAUAUUAAAGUUGUUGCAGUUAAAAAGCUCGUAGUUGAAUUUCGGGAUUGACGUGAUGGUCAUGCCUUAAGGGGUAUGAACUGUCACUGUUGAUUUCUCACCUUCUGGAGAAACUUGAUGUCCUUUAUUGGGUGUCUUGCGGAUCCAGGACCUUUACCUUGAAAAAAUUAGAGUGUUUAAAGCAGGCAUUUUUGCUCGAAUACAUUAGCAUGGAAUAAUAGAAUAGGACGGCAUGGUUCUAUUUUGUUGGUUUCUAGGAUCACCGUAAUGAUUAAUAGGGAUAGUUGGGGGCAUUAGUAUUCAAUUGUCAGAGGUGAAAUUCUCGGAUUUAUUGAAGACUAACUACUGCGAAAGCAUUUGCCAAGGAUGUUUUCAUUAAUCAAGAACGAAAGUUAGGGGAUCGAAGACGAUCAGAUACCGUUGUAGUCUUAACCAUAAACUAUGCCGACUAGGAAUCAGACGAUGUUAAUUUUUUAAUGACUCGUUUGGCACCUUACG
rnacentral:rRNA from 1 species